CUUGACGACCAUAGAGCGUUGGAACCACCUGAUCCCAUCCCGAACUCAGCAGUGAAACGAUGCAUCGCCGAUGGUAGUGUGGGGUUUCCCCAUGUGAGAGUAGGUC
rnacentral:rRNA from 1 species